rnacentral:rRNA from 1 species
CAAAACUUUUCAGCUAGAGUAUGAUAGAGGAAAGCAGAAUUUCUAGUGUAGAGGUGAAAUUCGUAGAUAUUAGAAAGAAUACCAAUUGCGAAGGCAGCUUUCUGGAUCAUUACUGACACUGAGGAACGAAAGCAUGGGUAGCGAAGAGGAUUAGAUACCCUCGUAGUCCAUGCCGUAAACGAUGUGUGUUAGACGUUGGAAAUUUAUUUUCAGUGUCGCAGCGAAAGCGAUAAACACACCGCCUGGGGAGUACGACCGCAAGGUUAAAACUCAAAUGAAUUGACGGGGACCCGCACAAGUAGUGGAGCAUGUGGUUUAAUUCGAAGAUACGCGCAGAACCUUACCAACACUUGACAUGUUCGUCGCGACUCUAAGAGAUUAGAGUUUUCGGUUCGGCCGGACGAAACACAGGUGCUGCAUGGCUGUCGUCAGCUCGUGUCGUGAGAUGUUGGGUUAAGUCCCGCAACGAGCGCAACCCUCACUUUUAGUUGCCAUCAUUAAGUUGGGCACUCUGAAAGAACUGCCAGUGAUAAGCUGGAGGAAGGUGGGGAUGACGUCAAGUCCUCAUGGCCCUUACGUGUUGGGCUACACACGUGCUACAAUGGUAUCUACAACAGGAAGCAAGACUGCGAGGUCAAGCAAAUCCUUAAAAGAUACCUCAGUUCGGAUUGCACUCUGCAACUCGAGUGCAUGAAGCUGGAAUUACUAGUAAUCGUGGAUCAGCGUGCCACGGUGAAUGCGUUCCCGGGUCUUGUACACACCGCCCGUCACACCAUGGGAGUUGGUUCUACCUUAAGGCAAGGUUUCAAACCCUUGACCACGGUAUAGUCAGCGACUGGGGUGAAGUCGUAACAAGGUAACCG